AUACCUUUCUCGGCCUUUUGGCUAAGAUCAAGUGUAGUAUCUGUUCUUAUCAGUUUAAUAUCUGAUAUGUGAAUCAAUGAUUCACACGAUAUUAACUCAAUUUUUUAAGGGGAGAGUUCAUCAAGGUAGCUUGCUACUUGGGCUCUCGUGUGUCGCCUAUGCGUUGCACUACUGCAUGGGCCUGGCACACCCCAC
rnacentral:snRNA from 1 species